UAGGGAAUCUUCCGCAAUGGACGAAAGUCUGACGGAGCAACGCCGCGUGAGUGAAGAAGGAUUUCGGUUCGUAAAACUCUGUUGUUAGGGAAGAAAAAAUGUAUAGUAACUAUAUACAAAAGAGACGGUACCUAACCAGAAAGCCACGGCUAACUACGUGCCAGCAGCCGCGGUAAUACGUAGGUGGCAAGCGUUGUCCGGAAUUAUUGGGCGUAAAGCGCGCGCAGGUGGUUUAGAAAGUCUGAUGUGAAAGCCCACGGCUCAACCGUGGAGGGUCAUUGGAAACUAAUAGACUGGAGUGCAGGAGAAAAAAGUGGAAUUCCUAGUGUAGCAGUGAAAUGCGUAGAGAUUAGGAGGAACACCGGUGGCGAAAGCGGCUUUUUAGCCUGCAACUGACACUAAGGCGCGAAAGCGUGGGGAGCAAACAGG
rnacentral:rRNA from 1 species